UACGUAGGUGGCAAGCGUUGUCCGGAAUUAUUGGGCGUAAAGCGCGCGUAGGCGGAACGUUAAGUCCGGUCUGAAAGCCCCCGGCUCAACCGGGGAGGGUGGCUGGAAACUGGCGUUCUUGAGGGCGAGAGAGGAGGGUGGAAUUCCUGGUGUAGCGGUGAAAUGCGUAGAGAUCAGGAGGAACACCCGGGGCGAAGGCGGCCCUCUGGCUCGACCCUGACGCUGAGGCGCGAAAGCGUGGGGAGCGAACGGG
rnacentral:rRNA from 1 species